UUGAGAGCAAAACAAAGGGGGGGUUUCGGCCAAAGAAGAGGAGAAAAAAAAAAAUUGAAGCCUUCCAUCCUUGGUCCAAAAAUUCAUUUCUUCUUGAAUUCUUACUAAUUUCAAGACCCUCUUCAACGUGAUAUAAUUAUUAGAGCAAGAAAAUUUCUUUUGUGACAAGUGCAAAAAUUCUAUUCAAGUGGAAAAUUGAAGAAAAUAUAUUAGGGAGCCCGAGACUUGAGUCGGGAUUUGGUUAGCGAGCGAUCGAGGUAUAGCCGUUCGUUCUGGUGACCCACCAGUGUAGGACACUUAUUCUGCUAUUUGGAGUACUCCUUUGAUCCGGAGCUCAUAUUUUGGUACAUAUCUUUUGUGAUACAUAUUUCUGUAUAUAUGACUAUUUGGGGGUACGGCGGGGCCCUGUCCCGUCAUAUGUUUCUGUUAUGGUUUGUAGAGGCCUGUAGACAUAUAUGUGGGUCAUGGGUCGUGUUUGUUCGAUUAUGUCUGUGACUUGUGCCUUAAGCGGUCCUAUUUGCUAUUAUGGCCAAACGGCCCAUAUGUUUGUAUAUGUAUGUAUAUUCGGGCGAUGUGUAUUCCGCCAGCCUGUCGGCUUUUGUAUGAUAUUUCUAUCACAGGUGACCGCUUAAGAUGACGGCUGUUCUCAGUAUCUGUGCAAAUAACGUAUGU